rnacentral:rRNA from 1 species
AUGCACGCUGGCGGCGUGCCUAACCCCUGCCAGUCGAACGGAGUCCAGCCUUUAAGACCUUCGGGUCAAAGAGGGGAAGACUGAGUGGCGGACGGGUGAGUAACACGUGGGCAACCUGGCUCAUAGAGGGGGAUAACAGAGAGAAAUUUCUGCUAAUACCGCAUAAGCACACACUGCCGCAUGGCAGAGGGUGAAAAGAGAAUCGCUAUGAGAUGGACCCGCGUCUGAUUAGCCAGUUGGCAGGGUAAGAGCCUACCAAAGCGACGAUCAGUAGCCGAUCUGAGAGGAUGAACGGCCACAUUGGGACUGAGACACGGCCCAAACUCCUAUGGGAGGCAGCAGUGGGGAUAUUGCACAAUGGGGGGAACCCUGAUGCAGCGACGCCGCGUGAGUGAAGAAGUAUUUCGGUAUGUAAAGCUCUAUCAGCAGGGAAGAUAAUGACAGUACCUGAAGAAGAAGCCCCGGCUAACUACGUG